AAUUCUCAAACCUGCUGGUCUUUAUUGACUAUGUUAGGCUUUGGAUGUGGGAGUUGCUGGCCUAACGGUCGGCUCUCCUUAAAUGCAUUAGUGGCUUGUCGAUCCCCAUUCACUUGGUGUGAUAGUAAUAUCUACAUUGAGGAUGGCUAGGUCAUGCUAUGACAACUGCUUUCUAACUGUCCUUUGGACAAUUUGAACC
rnacentral:misc_RNA from 1 species